UAAAAUGUUAAUAAAAUAUAUAUAGCGAAUGUAAUAUCUAUGUUAUGUUCUGUUAGGGUGAUAACUAAUAUAAAGAGAUAAUCUAUUUUUAAAAAUUAUCAAAAUAACAAUAUGGAUGAUUAAAUUUAGAGAAGCUACUCAGAAUGCUCUAACACUACCAGAGUUUUUUUUUCUUUUUAUAGGAUAGUUAGUCGUGCUAAAAAUACAUGCCCUCGCCUUUUCGCUUCUGCUUGCACUUGUAACCGAAAAUCUAAAAUUUUAACUUUAAAUUUUAAGUUGAAUUUGGAUUUUUUUAUCCUAAAUUAUUUUCCAGCCUAUGGUUUACUUAGAAAUUACUUUUACACUGACAAAUAACUGAGACACAAAAACAGACAUAACAUCCAAAGUAGAGCAUUUAUGGCCGAAUCUAUUACAACGACAGCCCACGGAACAUUAUUUUCAACAAACCGUGCGGAUUCCCAAUAUGUUUAGGCCAUUUACAGUGCGCAUGCAUGACGUUCGGCCUCAAGCUGCCACAGCGGAGAGAGGAAGCUAGCUGGCACUUUUUGCCUGGCUUGCAGAGCCGCGCGCGCCCUCGUGAGGUAGCGACGCCUCUGCCUCGAGCUCGGCGAGAAAGCGCCCAGAGACAUGCACUACAAGAGGUCGUCGCCCCGGCGUGGUUCCUCGACGUGGACGGGACAAAAUCAGAUGAAGGGGCGCCGGUGUGGUCGUCGUUGAGAUGGCCAUCGUCCGUCGCGGCCUUGACCCCCACCGCGUCGCCCCG
rnacentral:lncRNA from 1 species